rnacentral:rRNA from 1 species
AACGAACGCUGGCGGCAUGCCUAACACAUGCAAGUCGAACGAGACCUUCGGGGCUAGUGGCGCACGGGUGCGUAACGCGUGGGAACCUGCCCUUAGGUUCGGAAUAACUCCCCGAAAGGGGUGCUAAUACCGGAUAAUGUCUUCGGACCAAAGAUUUAUCGCCUUUGGAUGGGCCCGCGUUGGAUUAGCUAGUUGGUAGGGUAAAAGCCUACCAAGGCGACGAUCCAUAGCUGGUCUGAGAGGAUGAUCAGCCACACUGGGACUGAGACACGGCCCAGACUCCUACGGGAGGCAGCAGUGGGGAAUAUUGGACAAUGGGCGAAAGCCUGAUCCAGCAAUGCCGCGUGAGUGAUGAAGGCAUUAGGGUUGUAAAGCUCUUUUACCCGGGAUGAUAAUGACAGUACCGGGAGAAUAAGCUCCGGCUAACUCCGUG